CACAAGGUAAACUUCGAUCAGGUUACCAAAACGACUGAAACAAAGUAAAAGACCAAAGUAUCAGAAACAGAGGGAUGCUCUCAGCGUUUCGGGAGGGGCUUUCUUUUUGCACGAUGGAAGAACAACAUCUGUCUGGAUUUGUGGCAACUGUGACCCAGAACUUCCUCCAAAUUGCUGUGGAAGAGUCAGGCACAAAGGGAGAGAAAUAAGAUUGCCCUUUGGGGAUUUGGGGCCAAGAGCUAAAGAUGCACCCAUGUGGUCUUUUACAAUAGCUCUGAAGAUGUUCUUUCUUCAAUAAUAAACAAAUGUCAUAUUA